rnacentral:rRNA from 1 species
UACGGAGGGAGCUAGCGUUGUUCGGAAUUACUGGGCGUAAAGCGCACGUAGGCGGCUUUGUAAGUUAGAGGUGAAAGCCUGGAGCUCAACUCCAGAACUGCCUUUAAGACUGCAUCGCUUGAAUCCAGGAGAGGUGAGUGGAAUUCCAAGUGUAGAGGUGAAAUUCGUAGAUAUUCGGAAGAACACCAGUGGCGAAGGCGGCUCACUGGACUGGUAUUGACGCUGAGGUGCGAAAGCGUGGGGAGCAAACAGG